rnacentral:rRNA from 1 species
UUUUUAUUUUCUCACAUACGGAGAAAAGAACUAACAAGGAUUCCCCUAGUAACUGCGAGUGAAGCGGGAAAAGCUCAAAUUUAAAAUCUAAUGGUCUUUGGCCAUUCGAGUUGUAAUUUAGAGAAGCGUCUUCCGCGCCAGACCAUGUACAAGUCUCCUGGAACGGAGCGUCAUAGAGGGUGAGAAUCCCGUCUUUGACAUGGACCCUCGGUGCUUCUGUGAUGCGCUCUCAAAGAGUCGAGUUGUUUGGGAAUGCAGCUCAAAAUGGGUGGUGAACUCCAUCUAAGGCUAAAUAUUGGCGAGAGACCGAUAGCGAACAAGUACCGUGAGGGAAAGAUGAAAAGCACUUUGGAAAGAGAGUGAAACAGUACGUGAAAUUGUUGAAAGGGAAACACUUGAAGUCAGUCGCGUCGAUCGAGACUCAGCCUUGCCUCGGCUUGGCGUACUUCUCGACUUGACGGGCCAGCAUCAAUUUCGUCCCUCGGAUAAUGGCAAGUGAAAGGUGGCACCUUUUUAAGGUGUGUUAUAGUCUCUUGUCGCAUGCGAGGGGUGGGAUUGAGGAACUCAGCACGCACCUCACGGUGUCGGGGCUUCGGCCCACGUUACGUGCUCAGGAUGCCGGCGUAAUGGCUUUAAAUGACCCGUCUUGAAACACGGACCAAGGAGUCUAACAUGCCUGCGAGUGUUCGGGUGGAAAACCCGUGUGCGUAAUGAAAGUAAAAGUUGGGACCUCUGUCGUGGAGGGCACCGACGCCCGGACCAGACCUUCUGUGACGGAUCUGCGGUAGAGCAUGCAUGUUGGGACCCGAAAGAUGGUGAACUAUGCCUGAAUAGGGUGAAGCCAGAGGAAACUCUGGUGGAGGCUCGUAGCGAUUCUGACGUGCAAAUCGAUCGUCAAAUUUGGGUAUAGGGGCGAAAGACAAUCGAACCUCUAGAGCUGUCCGCAAAAAAU